rnacentral:rRNA from 1 species
UCGAACGAGUUCUCGUUGAUGAUCGGUGCUUGCACCGAGAUUCAACAUGGAACGAGUGGCGGACGGGUGAGUAACACGUGGGUAACCUGCCCUUAAGUGGGGGAUAACAUUUGGAAACAGAUGCUAAUACCGCAUAGAUCCAAGAACCGCAUGGUUCUUGGCUGAAAGAUGGCGUAAGCUAUCGCUUUUGGAUGGACCCGCGGCGUAUUAGCUAGUUGGUGAGGUGAUGGCUCACCAAGGCGAUGAUACGUAGCCGAACUGAGAGGUUGAUCGGCCACAUUGGGACUGAGACACGGCCCAAACUCCUACGGGAGGCAGCAGUAGGGAAUCUUCCACAAUGGACGCAAGUCUGAUGGAGCAACGCCGCGUGAGUGAAGAAGGCUUUCGGGUCGUAAAACUCUGUUGUUGGAGAAGAAUGGUCGGCAGAGUAACUGUUGUCGGCGUGACGGUAUCCAACCAGAAAGCCACGGCUAACUACGUGCCAGCAGCCGCGGUAAUACGUAGGUGGCAAGCGUUAUCCGGAUUUAUUGGGCGUAAAGCGAGCGCAGGCGGUUUUUUAAGUCUGAUGUGAAAGCCCUCGGCUUAACCGAGGAAGCGCAUCGGAAACUGGGAAACUUGAGUGCAGAAGAGGACAGUGGAACUCCAUGUGUAGCGGUGAAAUGCGUAGAUAUAUGGAAGAACACCAGUGGCGAAGGCGGCUGUCUGGUCUGUAACUGACGCUGAGGCUCGAAAGCAUGGGUAGCGAACAG